UUUGAAUGGAGAGUUCGAUCCUGGCUCAGGAUGAACGCUGGCGGCGCGCCUAACACAUGCAAGUCGAACGAUUAAAGCACCUUCGGGUGUGUAUAAAGUGGCGAACGGCUGAGUAACACGUGGGCAACCUGCCCCUCUCAUUGGGAUAGCCACGGGAAACCGUGGAUAAUACCGAAUACUUCGAGACUUCCGCAU
rnacentral:rRNA from 1 species